ACACAUUUGCUACUAAAAUCAGUGACCUCAAAUGCCUGCGGUGUUCUAAACACAUUGUGGGUCCUCAUGGGAUGGAAGAAAGUGCAUUGGAUUUGAAAUGCGAAUAUUUGGCUCAGGCCCUGGUGGUCUGACACCUCUAUGUCUAUUUCACACCAUGUGAGGCGAUUUGCUCCUCAAACAACUCUGAGUCUGUGUGGUGUUGCCUACGUAAGUCAGUGUUACCCUUCAUUCUUCCUAAAGCAAGGGAUGGGCUUCUUCCUGGACCUUUUUGAAAUAACAAGAACUUCAAGAUGCAGCGGUUACAACUGUCAACUGAUAAGUUCUUCAAUCAAUCUCUUUGAAAGCAAAUAAUUGGAUACCCCUUGACUGAGAAGAGGAUUUUUAAAGAUCCAGUCACUAAACUUCUUCAUUUUCUCAACACCAACACCCAUAUUUAAAUCAUCCAUUUGUUUGACAUCCCAGAGACUGUUAAAAAAGAAGCAAGGAAACAUGGUAAAAUUGAGAUGGAUGAGAAGCAAGACUUUAUCAACUUUUCUGAGCUUCAGUUUCUGUGUAAAAUUGGAAUAACAGUGUAUCUAUCUCUUAUGUUUAUUGUGAGAUAUUAUAAAUGAGUUAUGUAUCUAUCAUAGGGCACACAAUGGCCAAAUAUAAAACAGGCAGCACAAUCAAGAUUUUGUUAUACAUUACAUUUUGAGGUAGAAUUUUAUCCAGUGGUAACAUCUAAUCUCUUUGGGCAGGAGAUUGGCUAAGGUUAGGUUAGGUGUCAGGACUCUAGAAACAUGGGCUUAGGUGAACCGAAAACUCUAAUUUCCAGCAGGAAGGCAGUGAAGGAGAAUCUGUUCCAGACUUCCCUCCUAUAUCCUCAGGCAUCUCUUGGGUUGUAGAUGAGUUCUCCCUGUGUAGAAGUUCUCUCCUCUUCGUAUUCCUUCUGUAUGUAUCUCUCUGUGUGUCCACAUUUCUCCUUUUAAUAAACACAUUAGAUACAGGCUUACCUUAGUGACCACACCUUAACUUGAACCCCUCAUCUAUGAAGCCCCUAUUUCUAAAUAAGGCCAUAUUACAGAUCCUGGGAGUCAAGAGGUCAACAUUUUUGCAGAGUACACAAUUCAACCCAUAACAGUGAUAUAUCAAGUAAGAGAUAGGCAGAUCUUAGGGACAUAAAAACACCCAUGGAUUUUCCUGGAGAGUAGAAUACUGAUUAGGAAUUAGAAGCGUUUGUUGAAGCCCUGCAUUUGUCACUUACUAGCUGUAGGUGACUUUCCUUCAAAAGUCUUAAUCUCAGUUUUCUUAUCUCUACAGUGGGAGUAAAGCUUCAUAGUUUUGUCUAAAGUAUUAUAAUAAAGGAGGACAUAUAUGUAAUAAUGAUUUGUAAACUGUGUUACAAAGAUACUGUAUGUGAUUAUAGUUGUUAUUAAUGCAUUUAUUUACUCAAUUUCUGGAAAAAUCUAGGAAACACAGGGCAUAAAAUAAAGUUGAAAGAUCUGAAGUAGCUAAAAGCUAAGUAGAG